rnacentral:rRNA from 1 species
AGUUGAUCAUGGCUCAGAUUGACGYGGCGGCAGGCCUAACACCAUGCAAGUCGAGCGGAUGAAGGGAGCUUGCUCCCGGAUUCAGCGGCGGACGGGUGAGUAAAUGCCUAGGAAUCUGCCUGGUAGUGGGGGACAACGUUUCGAAAGGAACGCUAAUCCGCAUACGUCCUACGGGAGAAAAGCAGGGGACCUUCGGGCCUUGCGCUAUCAGAUGAGCCUAGGUCGGAUUAGCUAGUUGGUGAGGUAAUGGGCUCACCAAGGCGACGAUCCGUAACUGGUCUGAGAGGAUGAUCAGUCACACUGGAACUGAGACACGGUCCAGACUCCUACGGGAGGCAGCAGUGGGGAAUAUUGGACAAUGGGCGAAAGCCUGAUCCAGCCAUGCCGCGUGUGUGAAGAAGGUCUUCGGAUUGUAAAGCACUUUAAGUUGGGAGGAAGGGUUGUAGAUUAAUACUCUGCAAUUUUGACGUUACCGACAGAAUAAGCACCGGCUAACUCUGUGCCAGCAGCCGCGGUAAUACAGAGGGUGCAAGCGUUAAUCGGAAUUACUGGGCGUAAAGCGCGCGUAGGUGGUUCGUUAAGUUGGAUGUGAAAUCCCCGGGCUCAACCUGGGAACUGCAUCCAAAACUGGCGAGCUAGAGUAUGGUAGAGGGUGGUGGAAUUUCCUGUGUAGCGGUGAAAUGCGUAGAUAUAGGAAGGAACACCAGUGGCGAAGGCGACCACCUGGACUGAUACUGACACUGAGGUGCGAAAGCGUGGGGAGCAAACAGGAUUAGAUACCCUGGUAGUCCACGCCGUAAACGAUGUCAACUAGCCGUUGGGAGCCUUGAGCUCUUAGUGGCGCAGCUAACGCAUUAA